UAUUGUUAACUAGCUCUGCUUUCCCUGUAGCUUGUCAGAUCAAAAUUAGGAACGGCUAAGCACAGGUAACCCUUUUGUAGCUUUACGGAAUAAUUUUGAAACAAUCAAAAGUUUAUUAGUGUUAUUUGGAAGAGAAAAGCAAGAGUCUAAAUUUACUGACGGGCAUUUCGUUAACGGAAUGAUUCUGCUGAACUACGACCGGCAAGUUACGGGCUCAUCAUCAACAUCGACGGACCCACACUUGACGACACCAACGGCAAGCACAUUUUCAGUCACGUCAGUAGCUACAAAAAACUGGGAUCGUUCAUUACCACGUUAGCUUACCGGCAUCAACUGAAGGACUGUUUAAAAUGAAUAGAAGAUUAGGCUGGUGGGCCACGCACUUGUUUACUGGAAAAUUGCAAGGUCUGGAUUCCAUAUCUUUUAACACAGAACCACAGAAAUGCGAAAUGAAAAACGACGGAGCUGCUUGGGAGACGAAGAAUAACAGAUUAAGUAUCAGUAAUGUUGGAACAAUAAAAAAAAAUCUAACAAGUGUACUUAAAAUCUCUCUCAAAUUGUAGAGAAACUGAGUAAACAUAAGCUUGAAUAGCGCUUUAAUUCCAUUAAUUGCUUAUCACUUUAUGGGGUAACGUUUUUAAAUUUCAACGUACAUACCCACGGAAAAGUUAAAACUGACACAGAGCUGUAAUCUUUUUUUAUUUAAUCUGCUAAAUUCAUUUUAUGUAUAUGGCUUUGAAAAAUGUCUUUGUUUGAUUUGAAAAUGAUCCAUGUCAGCUUUAAGUUUUAAAUAAAGAUUAUAAUCAACGAAGUAAAGAUUUGAAGAGAUAUUUUAAAGAUCAUCGUAGAUACUGUACGGGGAUGUGAAAGCUGACAAAGAGCUAGAUCUAUUAUUUUUGUGUAUGUAAAUGUGUAUAAACUUAUCAUAUGUACGUGACUUUGGAUUUUGUUUAAUUUGUAACCUGCUUAGGGCUAGAACUAAAUUUUAAAUAAAAGUACAUUGAUUCUACAACUUCAAAUGAAUGUAGCCAUG